AGAGGGAUAGCCUCGGGAAACCGGGAUUAAAACCUCAUAACGCAUAAUUGAGACAUCUCAGAUAUGCCAAAGAUUUAUCGGCAAGGGAUGGGCCUGCGUCUGAUUAGUUAGUUGGUGGGGUAACGGCCUACCAAGGCAGCGAUCAGUAGCCGACCUGAGAGGGUGAUCGGCCACAUUGGAACUGAGGACACGGUCCAAACUCCUACGGGAGGGAGCAGUGGGGAAUAUUGCACAGUGGGGGAAACCCUGAUGCAG
rnacentral:rRNA from 1 species